rnacentral:rRNA from 1 species
GAUGAACGCUGGCGGCGUGCCUAAUACAUGCAAGUCGAGCGAACGGACGAGAAGCUUGCUUCUCUGAUGUUAGCGGCGGACGGGUGAGUCACACGUGGAUAACCUACCUAUAAGACUGGGAUAACUUCGGGAAACCGGAGCUAAUACCGGAUAAUAUUUUGAACCGCAUGGUUCAAAAGUGAAAGACGGUCUUGCUGUCACUUAUAGAUGGAUCCGCGCUGCAUUAGCUAGUUGGUAAGGUAACGGCUUACCAAGGCAACGAUGCAUAGCCGACCUGAGAGGGUGAUCGGCCACACUGGAACUGAGACACGGUCCAGACUCCUACGGGAGGCAGCAGUAGGGAAUCUUCCGCAAUGGGCGAAAGCCUGACGGAGCAACGCCGCGUGAGUGAUGAAGGUCUUCGGAUCGUAAAACUCUGUUAUUAGGGAAGAACAUAUGUGUAAGUAACUGUUCACAUCUUGACGGUACCUAAACAGAAAGCCACGGCUAACUACGUG